rnacentral:rRNA from 1 species
AUUGAACGCUGGCGGCAGGCCUAACACAUGCAAGUCGAGCGGAUGAAGGGAGCUUGCUCCUGGAUUCAGCGGCGGACGGGUGAGUAAUGCCUAGGAAUCUGCCUGGUAGUGGGGGAUAACGUCCGGAAACGGGCGCUAAUACCGCAUACGUCCUGAGGGAGAAAGUGGGGGAUAUUCGGACCUCACGCUAUCAGAUGAGCCUAGGUCGGAUUAGCUAGUUGGUGGGGUAAAGGCCUACCAAGGCGACGAUCCGUAACUGGUCUGAGAGGAUGAUCAGUCACACUGGAACUGAGACACGGUCCAGACUCCUACGGGAGGCAGCAGUGGGGAAUAUUGGACAAUGGGCGAAAGCCUGAUCCAGCCAUGCCGCGUGUGUGAAGAAGGUCUUCGGAUUGUAAAGCACUUUAAGUUGGGAGGAAGGGCAGUAAGUUAAUACCUUGCUGUUUUGACGGUACCAACAGAAUAAGCACCGGCUAACUUCGUG